rnacentral:rRNA from 1 species
CUGGCCCUACGGGGGGCAGCAGUAGGGAAUCUUCCACAAUGGGCGAAAGCCUGAUGGAGCAACGCCGCGUGGGUGAAGAAGGUCUUCGGAUCGUAAAACCCUGUUGUUAGAGAAGAAAGUGCGUGAGAGUAACUGUUCACGUUUCGACGGUAUCUAACCAGAAAGCCACGGCUAACUACGUGCCAGCAGCCGCGGUAAUACGUAGGUGGCAGGCGUUAUCCGGAUUUAUUGGGCGUAAAGGGAACGCAGGCGGUCUUUUAAGUCUGCUGUGAAAUCCUUCGGCUUAAUCGGAGUAGUGC